UCAAACAACCCAAGAGGGAGUCUGGGAGAAGGCGAGCGUGACGCGUUCAGGGUGGUGAAAAAUGUCAGAAAAAAAAAAAGAAAAGAGGGCUGAGUAGGAGGAAAAGCGAUGAAAGUCCAAGGGGCGGACACACGGAGUAAAAGAAUGAUGAGGGAGGAGGAGAGUGACGACGUGAAGAUCCCGAGAAGGGCGGGCCUGAACGGCGUUGGUCACCCAGAAACUUUCAGCUCUUGUAACUCUUUCAGGCAUCGAUGCGAGCAUCUUUUCUUGACUUCUACUGCUCCCAGUCAGUCCAUCAAACACGCUGCAGUGUUCUCCUGCCAGGAGUCACACACCAACAAAGCCCGAGAGUAAACAAAGCACGCCGGCCGCCACAAAGGGCAACAAGGAGACCAGGCGCCGUCCCCCAAACAAGUCGCCGUUUCCUUUUCAUGCUCGCCUGGCUGACUUGACUGCUGCUUAACUUGCUGGCUUCCCUGAGUGAACGCUUCCCUGCCAGAUUCCUGAUGAGGGAGCCAAAAAGCAAAUGGCACAUAACGAGAGAGCCCGUUUUGGCAAAGGGGGAAGCGCCAGAGUGGGACACCUGUCAUUUCUGCAUGUUCACACGGAAAAUGGCUAACAAGCCGAUCCGGGUUUGAAGUCAGCGUUUAAUCGAUAUAUAUAUCGAAUACGGCGGCACCUGCGCCGUCUAAUGAGAUGAAUCAAUGUCACGGAACAGAUUGUGUUGCAGAUUCCAAGUGUAUUUGUUUACCUCAUCGUGUAUUUAUACCGUGGGCUAAUUUAAAACUCAAAUGACCCGACCGAAUAAAUGAAUUUUCUCAUGACG